rnacentral:rRNA from 1 species
GCCUAACCUAACACACAAUUAAAUUACUAAUUAUCCGCCAAAUAACUACGAGUUAAAACUUAAAACUUAAAAGACUUGACGGUACUUCACACCACCCUAGAGGAGCCUGUCUAAUAACCGAUACCCCACGAUUAACCCAACCCUCCCUAGCCCCACAGUCUAUAUACCGCCAUCGCCAGCUCACCUUGUGAAAGAAACAAAGCGGGCUCAAUAGUCACCACUAAUACGAUAGGUCGAGGUGUAACUAAUGGGUGGGAACAGAUGGGCUACAUUUUCUAAUACAGAAAAUACGAACAAUCUACGAAAACAGAAACCGAAGGCGGAUUUAGCAGUAAAUUAGGGACAAUGAGCCUAAUCGAAAUAAACGCAAUGAAGUGUGUACACACCGCCCGUCAUCCCUGUAAAAAAACCAAUGAACUUCAUAAAUACACAAAACCAAUAAACAGGGCAAGUCGUAACAUGGUAAGCGUACUGGAAAGUGCGCUUAGAAA